AUAGCUACAGUUAAAUGUUGUUUAAUCCACCGAGCUGCAAUGCACCCUAGCCUGCGUAGCAGGCGCUAUUUAGGGGGGAGGGCGAGGGUGGGAGAAGCUAGGGGGGGGGAUGGGAAGGCGAGAGAAAGAGAGCGAGGAAAAAUGGGAAGGGCGAGAAAGAAAUAGCUAUUUUCUUCUCGCCCCUUCCAUUUUUCCUCGCUCUCUUUCUCUCGCCUUCGCACCCCCCCUAGCUUCUCCCACCCUCGCCCUCCCCCCUAAAUAGCGCCUGCUACGCAGGCUAUGCACCCCAGUGC
rnacentral:sRNA from 1 species